rnacentral:rRNA from 1 species
UACAGAGGUCUCAAGCGUUGUUCGGAUUCAUUGGGCGUAAAGGGUGCGUAGGCGGCGCGGUAAGUCGGGUGUGAAAUUUCGAGGCUUAACUUCGAAACUGCAUUCGAUACUGCCGUGCUAGAGGACUGGAGAGGAGACUGGAAUUUACGGUGGUAGCGGUGAAAUGCGUAGAUAUCGAUAAGGAAGACCAGUGGCGAAGGCGGGUCUCUGGACAGUUCCUGACGCUGAGGCACGAAGGCCAGGGGAGCAAACGGG